AUUGAACGCUAGCGGGAUGCUUUACACAUGCAAGUCGAACGAGUGGCGGACGGGUGAGUAAUAUAUCGGAACGUGCCCAGUAGCGGGGGAUAACUACUCGAAAGAGUGGCUAAUACCGCCUACCAUUUGAGCGGCCGAUAUCGGAUUAGCUAGUUGGUGGGGUAAAGGCUCACCAAGGCAACGAUCCGUAGCUGGUUUGCGAGGAUGCCCAGCCACACUGGGACGGAGACACGGUCCAGACUCCUACGGGAGGCAGAAGUGGGGAAUUUUGGACAAUGGGGGAAACCCUGAUCCAGCCAUCCCGCGUGUAUGAGAAGGCCUUCGGGUUGUAAAGGACUUUUGGCAGGGAAGCGGUAUCUGCAGAAUAAGCACCGGCUAACUACGUGCCAGCAGCCGCGGUAAUAC
rnacentral:rRNA from 1 species